UGGGUGGGGAGGAGGGCUCCGCAUCAUCUGGGUUACGGGCUGUUUCUUGGGUCAACUGCUGUUUAAGGGGAUCGAAAAAUAAUGAGCCUAAAUGCCAGCGGCGUCCGUUUUCUUAUCUGUAAAAAGUCCCUCCAGACUGACCAACUUUAGGAGUCCCGGUUUUUUCCUUCAAAACAAUUCGAAGCUUUUCAAGCAGAGUAAAAACUCUUUCAAAGCGCUGGUUUGGAGUGUCCAAGAGCAUGGCCCUCGUGAGCCCAGGUCUGGAGGCUGCUCGUCCUGACUUUCACUGUGACCUUGACAAAGCACCAGAAAUAACCAGCAACAAAUUUUGUAUGCCAGGAAAAUAGGCUCCAAGCAGGACGCCUGCCUGACCUAUAAAAUGCUGUGAACCCAGACGGAUCUUUACUCUGGAUCUUACCCUCCUUACAAUUUUAGGCUCCAAUAUUAAAAUGUAGUAUUACCACUGCAGGUAGUACUUUGAUUUAAAAAAUGGGACAUGGGGGCCUGGGUGGGUCA